UCAUGUUUCAGUAGUCAUGCUGGUGAUAU
rnacentral:piRNA from 1 species